rnacentral:rRNA from 1 species
AUACAGAGGGUGCGAGCGUUAAUCGGAAUUACUGGGCGUAAAGCGCGCGUAGGCGGCUUAUUAAGUCAGAUGUGAAAUCCGAGGGCUCAACCUUGGAACUGCAUCUGAUACUGGUAAGCUAGAGUUUAGGAGAGGGAAGUAGAAUUUCAGGUGUAGCGGUGAAAUGCAUAGAGAUCUGAAGGAAUACCAGUGGCGAAGGCGACUUCCUGGCCUAAAACUGACGCUGAGGUGCGAAAGCGUGGGUAGCAAACGGGAUUAGAAACCCUAGUAGUCC